rnacentral:rRNA from 1 species
CCUACGGGUGGCAGCAGUGAGGAAUAUUGGUCAAUGGCCGGAAGGCUGAACCAGCCAUGCCGCGUGAAGGUCAGUGCCCUAUGGGCGUUAAACUUCUUUUGUGCGGGAGCAAUAAUGGUCACGUGUGGCCAGACGAGAGUACCGUACGAAUAAGCAUCGGCUAACUCCGUGCCAGCAGCCGCGGGAAUACGGGGGAUGCAAGCGUUAUCCGGAUUUAAUGGGGUUAAAGGGUGCGUAAGGUGUGAGGUAAGUCAGGAGGGGAAUGCCCCCGCCCAACGGGGGGAAGUGCCAUUGAUACUGGCCGGCUAGAGUGCAGAUGCGGUAGGAGGAAUGUAUGGUGUAGCGGUGAAAUGCAUAGAGAUCACACAGAACACCGAUUGCGAAGGCAGCUCACGAAGCCACGUUUGACGCUGAGGCACGAAAGCGUGGGUAGCAAACAGGAUUAGAUACCCGAGUAGUC